GAUGAACGCUGGCGGCGUGCUUAACACAUGCAAGUCGAACGAAGCAUAAAAGUGGAAGUUUUCGGAUGGAAGCUUUUAUGACUUAGUGGCGGACGGGUGAGUAACGCGUGGGUAACCUGCCUCAUACAGGGGGAUAACAGUUGGAAACGACUGCUAAGACCGCAUAAUACUAUUUGACCGCAUGGUAGAAUAGUCAAAGAUUUAUCGGUAUGAGAUGGACCCGCGUCCGAUUAGCUAGUUGGUGAGGUAAUGGCUCACCAAGGCGACGAUCAGUAGCCGGCUUGAGAGAGUGACCGGCCACAUUGGUACUGAGACACGGCCCAAACUCCUACGGGAGGCAGCAGUGGGGAAUAUUGCACAAUGGGGGAAACCCUGAUGCAGCGACGCCGCGUGAGUGAAGAAGUAUUUCGGUAUGUAAAGCUCUAUCAGCAGGGAAGAUAAUGACAGUACCUGACUAAGAAGCCCCGGCUAACUACGUGCCAGCAGCCACCGUAA
rnacentral:rRNA from 1 species